GCCGAGCCCCCCUGGGCUGUGCAAACAUGCGGCAAACCCACGGGCGGAGUCGGGAAAGCGGUCUUCUGCGCCCAGAGGCCACAGGGAAGUUUCCAGAUGGACGUCCUAUAAAGAGCAUUGGGAUGGGCAGGGCCGCCUCGGGUUAGAGCCCAGAUGUCUGUGAGCACCGCCUUCCCCCGUGGCGAACCUCUCACGGCCACGUUGGAGGCAGAGUCCCAGGCAGGUCCCCGGAGCUCUGACACACGGACGCGCACCUCCCCGGGGGUGGGGGGUGGGGGGCGCUGGGACCUCUCCCUCCCUGUCACCCGGCCCUUGGGGGACAUCUGGGGUGCUGGCCGGGACACACGGCCAGACAGGCGCUUGGGGGCCAGGGUCCCCCAGGGGCGGGGCCUCUCAGUGCUUGUUCACGUCUGUAGAGGCCAAGGUUGAGGCCCAGCUGGGAAACGGCUCAGAGCAGCCGCCUAGAGUCUGGUCAAGGACAACACCUUUGUCCCCUGGCCCCCAGUAUUCACAGUCCCCCAGCAACGCCCACCAGCAGAGGCCAUGUUGUCAGGAUCCCGGUCAGCCGAACGCAGGACCCACAGCCCCCAAGCCACAGGCCCGGCCACAGCCUCUCGAUAACUUGCUCCCCGAGGUCGACGUGCAACCACUGAAUUCAGUUUUGUGAGCAGGGUCUAGCUCAGCUUCCAGAGUGAACAUGGCAAGCAGGGGCCAGGUGUGAGGGGGCCAGAGAGGAGCCCUGCCGCAGACAUCCUGCACGGCGGGGUCAGGGGUCAAGGCCGUGACACAGGGAGAAGGGUGGGCAGAGGCAUUAACCCUGGUCCGUCCACCUCACCCACGGACCCAAGUCCCCAGAGGCACGUAUACGGCCUCCUCCUCGUCCACGUUGCCAGCCCCACGCCCGUCACAGGCCCCGGAAGCGACGCGGAGGGGCUGCAACGGGGCGCGUGGAGAGGGAAACGAGCCGACGAGCCAGGGAAGAGACGAACGGCCAUCUGAAGGGACAGGACAGGGGACAGGAGAGGGACCACGAGACGGCACAACGGGACACAGCUGACACUGGAAGCAGCAGCCCCGGAAACCUUCGAUCUUACCGGCUGGAGGACCCAGAGAACAACGUUGGAGGCAGCCUGGGGAACUGGCCAGGGCAGGGGAGUCCCAGAAAGGAGGGGGAGCCCCGAAUCUGCGUGUGUGCCCCGCUCAUCUCUCUGCUGCGGACAGAAUGUGCACCCAGCCUGGCCCACAGGGAAGGAGCGGACCUUUCUGUCCCGGCAAACAAACCACAUCCUUUCCUCCGUGGAUCUCGGCAUUUGUAAGGGGCCCCAAAGUGUCCUGACUUCUCUGACCCAAACUGCAGGGGCAGCGUCCAGUCCUUGCCAUUCCUGCGGGGCCUCCUGGGGUCACAUGGGCGCUGGACGUAUGUGGCUCAAGGAAAUGAGCAGCCACAGUUCCGGGAAUUCACGAAGGCUGAGCGAGCCUACAACUCUCUGCCAUCACCGCCGAUGCGCACCACGAGCGGGAGACCUGGCCACGGAGGAGCGCGUGGGCUCGGGUGGGCUCCCCUCUACGCGUGUGGCGGCGCCCGCGGAGGGGCCCGUCCGCUCCGCCGGGUUGUGCGGGGUCAGCGCUGCGCUGCGGCCCAGCCUCUGCGGCCACUCCUGCUCCACGUGUGGCCCCGCUGUCCCCUCUGGGCUCAGGUCCCGGCGUGGCCGGACCGAGCUCCCACGGGCCGGGCGGCUUAGCGCAUCAGAGGCGUGUUCUUGCGGCCCUGGCCGCCCUCCUGGAGGACCCAUCCCCGCCUCCCUGAGCCUCUGGGGAGGCGGGCGAUCCGGGGUGUCCUGGGCUUACAGACCCA